rnacentral:rRNA from 1 species
GACGAACGCUGGCGGCGUGCUUAACACAUGCAAGUCGAACGGAAAGGCCCUGCUUUUGUGGGGUGCUCGAGUGGCGAACGGGUGAGUAACACGUGAGUAACCUGCCCUUGACUUUGGGAUAACUUCAGGAAACUGGGGCUAAUACCGGAUAGGAGCCCCUGCUGCAUGGUGGGGGUUGGAAAGUUUCGGCGGUUGGGGAUGGACUCGCGGCUUAUCAGCUUGUUGGUGGGGUAGUGGCUUACCAAGGCUUUGACGGGUAGCCGGCCUGAGAGGGUGACCGGCCACAUUGGGACUGAGAUACGGCGCAGAAGCCUACGGGAGGCAGCAGUGGGGAAUAUGGCACAAUGGGCGGAAGCCAGAUGCAGCAACGCCGCGUGCGGGAUGACGGCCUUCGGGUUGUAAACCGAUUUCGCCUGUGACGAAGCGUGAGUGACGGUAAUGGGUAAAGAAGCACCGGCUAACUACGUG